GAUGAACGCUAGCGGCAGGCUUAACACAUGCAAGUCGAGGGGCAGCGCGGGAUAGCAAUAUCCUGGCGGCGACCGGCGGAAGGGUGCGUAACGCGUGAGCGACAUGCCCGUUGCCCGGGGACAACCGGUGGAAACGCCGACUAAUCCCCGAUGGGAUAUUGUGCCGCAUGGCACGAUAUUGAAAGUUACGGCGGCGACGGAUUGGCUCGCGUCCGAUUAGCUUGUUGGCGGGGUAACGGCCCACCAAGGCUGCGAUCGGUAGGGGUUCUGAGAGGAAGGCCCCCCACAAGGGGACUGAGACACGGCCCAUACUCCUACGGGAGGCAGCAGUGAGGAAUAUUGGACAAUGGGCGGAAGCCUGAACCAGCCAUGCCGCGUGCGGGAAGGAGGCCCUAUGGGCUGUGAACCGCUUUUGCCUGGGGGCAAUAAGGGCGUCGCGCACGUCCGAUGAGAGUACCAGGCGAAUAAGCAUCGGCUAACUCCGUG
rnacentral:rRNA from 1 species